UACGAAGGGGACUAGCGUUGUUCGGAAUCACUGGGCGUAAAGCGCACGUAGGCGGAUUCGUAAGUCAGGGGUGAAAUCCCGGGGCUCAACCUCGGAACUGCCUUUGAUACUGCGGGUCUUGAGUCCGAUAGAGGUGGGUGGAAUUCCUAGUGUAGAGGUGAAAUUCGUAGAUAUUAGGAAGAACACUGGUGGCGAAGGCGGCCCACUGGAUCGGUACUGACGCUGAGGUGCGAAAGCGUGGGGAGCAAACAGG
rnacentral:rRNA from 1 species